CCUUAGUUGAGAGACCGGAAGCUACGAGUUGUGCCCCCUCAGGGGCCACACCCACAGUUUCCACAACUCCAGAUGGGGGUGAAAGAUGGUAUCCCACUUUUCACAAACCAUGGCUGGCCAGGCCAGUACGGAGCUACUAACUUAGGAGACGCACCUCAUAACGGCGAACACUCUCCAGAACUCCCGGGAGCAGAGCAAGCGGGAGAAAUGCGUAUUCAUUCAGACACAGCCUCGGCCAUACCAUACCAUAGCAUCCAGUCCGAAAGGAGCUGGAUGUGAGAGGGAGAACCAGAGGGGACAAAGUAAUGUCUCUCGAGACGCAAACAAGUCCACCUGGGCUUGCUCUUUCGAACUUUUUCCAAAUCUGCUCCACCACCUCAGGGUGGAGCCUCCAUUCCCCGAGCCUCGGGCCCUGCCUUGACAGGAUGUCUGCUUCCAUAUUGACUCUCUGUGCGAACCAGCACAUGAUGGCUUCUCAGGUCCGGGAGAAAGUGUUUCAGUGCUUGAAACACGGCCAGAUACUCCAGGCAAUUCAUGUGCCACGUGAGAUGGUGACCUCCCCAUAAACCCUGGGUGGAGCGGUCACUCAUGAAUGCUCCCCAACCCAUCAGGGAGGAAUCCGUCGUUAGCGUACGCGACGACAAGGAGUCUCCAGCACUGAGCCUUGUGACAGGAACCAAGGUUUCCUCCACAUGUCUAAGGCACGUAAGCAUCGCUGCGUGACCUCAAUCAUGCGAAGUGGGUUGCCCCAUGGGGAGAACCCUAUGGUCUUGAGCCACCACUGCAAGGAUCUCAUGUACGGCAGGCCAAAAGGUA